rnacentral:rRNA from 1 species
AGAGUUUGAUCCUGGCUCAGGAUGAACGCUAGCUACAGGCUUAACACAUGCAAGUCGAGGGGCAGCAUGUUGGUUGCUUGCAACCAAUGAUGGCGACCGGCGCACGGGUGAGUAACGCGUAUCCAACCUACCCUUGUCCAUCGGAUAACCCGUCGAAAGGCGGCCUAACACGAUAUGCGGUUCUCAGCAGGCAUCUAACGAGAACGAAAUGUGAAGGAGAAGGAUGGGGAUGCGUCUGAUUAGCUUGUUGGCGGGGUAACGGCCACCAAGGCGACGAUCAGUAGGGGUUCUGAGAGGAAGGUCCCCCANAUUGGAACUGAGACACGGUCCAAACUCCUAACGGGAGCA